rnacentral:lncRNA from 1 species
GGCCGGUAGUGUUGGUGAGAAGGUAUUGGACGGCUCUACCUGCAGAUUAGGAUGCCUGGUGAUGAAGAGGUUGGGCACGGGGGUCCUUGGUCCGGCUGUGCUUGAACGGUAAAGAGAGGAAGAGGAGGACGACGGUCUGUGGUCUCAGAGCAGCUUCGCAUUCUAAUUACCGGGAUUGAACACAGGCAAAGGGCAUUGGGGUGGUGUUUUAUUUAGCUUUUGCUUCCAUAAUUGUGAAAUGAAUGCUCAGGCUACUGUAUCUAUAACUCUCCAUAUGCACCCAAAUCAGUGGGCUCCUUUUUCACCUCUGGAAAUGAAAAGUGCAUUUUAAACUUGGAGCAAGGGGGAAGUAAAACAUUGUUUUAAUAACAGCUCUUGUUGCGUGAGUCAAACAGUGUUAUCAGGAAGCUAUUUUCAAGGCCUAAAUCUGGCUACCCUCUUCUUCCCAUUGUAUAUAAGACUCUAGUAGAAGCUUGAUCUUCAGUCUGUAAGAAGUGGUAAUUCUGCUACAAAGUUUUUCUUUGACCUGAAAUUUCAUUUUUCUACUUUGCUGCAUCCUCCCCGGUAAAUUGCUGGCUCCUUAUUAGUGCAAGAAGUCUCCUUGAGAAAGCUGGGGUGAGCCCCACCUCUGGGGACUCCAGUGGAAAUUGAUUUAAUUGUCACAAGCUUCUCAUACUAAGUACCUGAAAACUGGAGAGUAAAGGGAGGAGACUCUUUUAAGUAAUAUUGGCAGCUCUGUGCUACUAAUAAGUGCAAAAAAAAAAAAAAAAGAAAAGAAAAAAACUUUUUUUUUUUUUUUUUUUUUUUUUUUUUUUAAUUCAAAAGCCUGUCAGUCCUGAUGAUUUUCUUUUUAAAGGUCAGGCAACAUCCUGUGGACUUCUUUUCAUUGGAGCUUUUCAUCCAGCUUAAAAAUUGUUCUAGAUUCAUGGCCAGAAGGCAAAUGUGAUAUGUUACCCACGCAGAGCUACCAGGAGCUGUCAUCCGGGCUCUCCAGCUCUCCACGCUGAUCUGCAGCCCCAUCCAGCUGAUCUUGCUGGGACCUGUGGGAAGUAAGGGCUUCUGACGUGUGGACGCUUGUACUCUGAUGCUCUGGAAAAAUACUUUUAAGUUGACCAUCCUAUCAGCUUCCCUUUGCGCUUAAAAUAUCCAGCAACCUUGCUGAAAGUAGCCUUUUUAAUCUGCUUCAAUGUCUCUUCCUUUUUCCUCAAGGAAAAAUGGACAAUACGGGUGAGGUGGACCUAAUGUAAUGCUGGAUGAUUAUAAAGGACCUAAACCUGUACAGUCACAGGCACACCAUUGACGCCACCACUCCCGGACAGAGGGACCAUUCGGUGGAAGUGUGGAGCGUGAACAAUUUCAGGAUUAGACAUCAAAACAUUUGCGAUGAUGCUUCUCAAUUGCCAAUUACAGCUGCUUGUACAACUCAGUUACCAAAAGCAUUGUGGUAUGCCUUGAUGAAUAAACACUUAUGACUAAUUGGAAAAUGUAUUUCUAGAGUACCAUGGUGCAGUCCUACAUAGCUCCUUUAUUACUGCGUCCUGGCAUCCUGCCCAUCAAGUGGAGCACACUUUCCUUUGAAUAGCGCUUAGAUGUGAUAGGCUGACUCUUUCUUCCCUCCACCCGCUUCAACAACGCAGCUGAUUAUUCAACCAUUUUCUCUACCCUUUGCUGCCUUCUGUGUGUUCUUUUUUUUUUUUUUUUUUUUGGUUUUUACCAUUCAAAAAAUCUGGCUGUUAGAAACUCCAAAAUUACUAAUUCUCUGAAAAUACGCCUUCAAACCUC